CACGGGGGGAGCAAGCGUUGUUCGGAAUCACUGGGCGUAAAGGGCGUGUAGGCGGUUAGGUAAGUGGGAUGUGAAAGCCCCCGGCUCACCCGGGGACCUGCAUUCCAAACUGCCUGACUUGAGUAUGGGAGAGGAUAGGGGAAUUCCUGGUGUAGCGGUGAAAUGCGCAGAUAUCAGGAAGAACACCAAUGGCGAAAGCAGCUCUCUGGGACGGUACUGACGCUGAGACGCGAAAGCGUGGGGAGCGAACAGG
rnacentral:rRNA from 1 species